UGAUCCACCCAUCUCUGCCUCCCAAAGUGCUGGGAUAACAGGUGUGAGCCCUCACGCCUGGCUUCCUUAUAUUUAAACAAUUCUAUUAAUGUAAAAAUACCAUUAAGAAAAAAGGCAAGCCACAGCAUGCAAGAAGACAGUUAUAAUACAUACGUCUAAAAACUACUUCUGUCCAGAAUAUACAGAAUCUUCUACAAAUCAAUGAGAAAAUGCAUAUAACUCAAUUUUAAAAUGCAUAAAAAACUCCUGAGCAAAAAUUUUAUAAAAGAGGAUAUCCAAAGGGCCAUACACAUAGAAAAAAGGUUCAACAUCAUUACUCUUUAGAAAAAUACAAAGCAAAUCUAUAAUGAAAUACCAUUUACACCCAUUGGAAUGGCUAAAAUUAAAAAGACUGAAGGACUGACAGUAACUCAUAUUGGUAAGGCGGUUGAACAACUGGAAUUCUCAUACAGUAUCAUAGCAGGAGUGUACGUUGGUACAGUUUGGAAAAAAGUUUGACAGUUUCUUAUAAAGUUGAACAUAGAGACCCAAUAAUUCCAUUUUUAGAUAGAUACCUAAAAGAAAUAAGUAAUAUAUUCUUCAAAACUCAUAUAUAAGAAUGAUCACAUUUGCAUUUUUCAUAAUAACUCCAAACUGGAAACAUGUCCACCAACAGGAGGUCUAAUAAUUGUGGAAGAUGGAAAAUUAUACUGCAAUUUAAAAAAUAACCAACUACUGAUAUUUUAAAUCGCAUAGAUGAAUCUCACAGACAUUAUGUUAAGUGAAAGAAGCCAGACAAAUAAGAGUGUAUACUGUAUAAUUCCAUUUAUAAAAAGUUCAAGAACAGGCAAAACCAAUUGAUGAUACCUUGAAAUAUGAGGUUAUUGACUUCUGAGAUGCUGGAGGCAUUCCAUAUCUUUAUUUGGAUAGCGGUUAUGUGAAUGUAUAAAUGUAUAUACACUUAAGAUUAGCACAUUUCAUCUUUUGUAUGGUUAAAUAUAAUUUAGACAAAGCAAGAGACCAAUUCAGGUGGUCCUGUCUUAGUCUGCUUUCUCCUGCUGUAAAAGAAUACUACAGACUGGGUAAUUUAUAAAGAAAAGAAAUUUAUUUUGCUUAUGGUUCUGGAGACUGGGAUGUCCAAGGGCAUGGCACUGGCAUCUGCUCAGCCAUCUGGUGGGGGCCUUAUUGUUGUGUCAUCUCAUGAAGGAAAGUGGAAAGACAAGGGAGCAUGGGAGACAGAAAAAAGGGGUGAACUCCUGAGAUAACUGAUCUACUACAGCAAUAACAGCUUUAAUCCUUUAAUCCACUCUUACCCUAUGACCUAAUCACCUCUUAAAGGUCCCACCUAUUAAUGCUGCCACACUAGCAAUCAAAUUUCAAUAUAAAUUUUGGAGGGGACAUUUUAAAUGAAAGCAGGUUCCAAACUCACCUAUUUAUGACACCUAAAACAGGAAUGGUGAAAAUAGGGGAAGGGGAUUGGUUUUUAAUGUCACAAGAAACUUCCUAGAAUAUUCAGAUUGAAGGGGUUCACUGUUAAGCAAGAUGAAUUUUAAAUCAGAAAUAUAAAAUAUUCUCAUUAAAUUAUAAUGCAGCUAGGAUCAAGGCAUGUUGAUAAAGUCUUCUGGACAGGAAAAACAAGCCAUAUGUAAAGGAAUAAGGAUCAGAUUAAUGUCAGACUUCUCAUGAACAAUUGGAUAUUACAGGAAAAUGAAGCAAUGUUCUCUCAAAUUUCUGAGCCAACAUAUCAAUCAGGUGUGAGAACAAAAUAAUUUUUUUCUGACAGGCAAAGGAGGGUAACGUUUACCUUUUAAUCGUGCCUUUUAAGGGAGUUAAUUGAAGAUACAAUACAGUCAAGCAACAGGAGGAAAGAAACAACAAAUGGGAGACAUGAGGUUCCGAGGAUCAUGGUUCCAACACAGGACAGCAGAAAAGAGGAGUUGCAAAAUGACUGCUACAAAACAGACUUAAAGAGAAAACAUUCCAGUUUCACGUAGGAGGACAAAAGAAAAAACAAAACAACAUGAACAUCCAUUCUCUGCUUCUUUUCAGAGAAGGAUGGAGCAAAUGCCCCAGAUGAAGCCUACACGACAUGAGUCAGAGAACUUUGGCCAGGAUGUCUGGGGAAAAAGUUUCCUCUUUCUUCUCUGGGAACUAUCUGGAGAGGGUUGUUUUAACGCUGGAUGUGAACAGCGACUCGUGUAGCCCCAGAAGCCUCUGACAGCCGCGUUGGAAUCAUAAGUUCUCAAAAUGAAGGUUGUGGUCUAGAAAGCAUAUUGUGAUUUGUACAAGAAGCACAUUCCCAUUUUACAAAAGUACAAAAGCACAUUUUGGACUUUUAACAAAUUCAACUGUUUUGUGUUCUGUGUGAGUAAAUUUUAGGUUGCCCAUCAUUGAAAACCAGUUUAAAAAAAAAUAAUGGGAGUAGAUAAUCCAGACAACAUUUUCUACCGUAUUUGUUGACUCCAGUUGUUGGAAAGUAAAAUUCUGGAGGAAGAGCUGGGAUAUCUCCAGGGGCUUAGUUUAACAUCAUCAAAGACUCUCCUGCUCCCCCUUUGCAUGUUACAGUAUCUGCUUUACCAAUCAGAGGGAAAUUUAUCAUGUAGGAUUUAAAGGAGAUAUUUAUGGCGUCCGUAAGCACAAUGACUUUGACUGGUAAGACGUCAGCUAUUCCCUUUAGGAGAUAAAAGGCCACAGCUGGUGAGGUAAUAGAACAGGAACUGUUUCAAUAUUUCAAAACAGAAGACCUUGUUGAAGAAGAGAGAUUUUAUAUGGCAUUUGCUUUUAUUUUUUUCCUUCUAUGAUGAACAGGUGUGGGAGUCAAUUCAAGAAGGCAGCUUAGAUGAUUGUGAGACAAGGGAGGGAGGUAAAUAUUUUUGAUGGUUGGGGAAGGACUGAGAUUUUCAAACUUCAAACCAAACAUGUAGUCCAAGCCUUUUCUACCUGUGUACACAAAGGAAAGAGGAAACUAAGUCAAUGUAAAAUAGGCAGUUGUUGUUUGGAAAAGUUAUGAAAUCCUCCUGGCUACACAAAACAGAAAGCCCAGCUAUGUGACAAGUGUUUGAUGUAAAUAUGCAAAUGCAGUUUUAAAUUCAUUAUACCUAAGGGAACAAGGUGUCUGGGUAAGGGGGGUUCUACUGUUUCUUAAGCUUACAAAGCAGGUCCUUGAAUAAUGUCAUUUAAGUUCAAUGUAAUUUCCUUAUAAUGUUGAUGAGAAAAAAAAAAUGGAUUCCUAGCUGAAGUCAUUGUGUGUGUGGACUUUGCAUGUCCUCCCCAUGUCUGGUUUCCUCCCAAAACCCAAAGCUGUGUCCGUUAGAUGAAUCAGUGUGUCUCACUGGUCCCAGCGUGAGUGAGUGUUGCUAUGUAUGAGUGGGCCCUGCAAUGGGAAUGGUGACCUGUCUGGGGCUGGUUCCAGCCUGGUACCCUGAGCUACCAGAAGUGGCUCUGGCCCCUUGAGCUUCUGAACUUGAAUAAGUGGGUAAAUUAUUAUCUUACUUGUUUUUGUUAACCUUUCUUAAGUGUAUGUGUAGCUCACCUUCCUUUCAAAGUUAUUUUGAUGUUUAUUUCAAUAUUAGAAGUGUUUGGGUCUUUCUUUAGAAGUUUGGUGAUUUUUUUUUUUGUGACCAAAAUAUGCUGUAGCAACUUAACUCUUGUUUAGAUCGGUUAGCUUAUAGCAAAGCUAUUUUCGUUAUGUGUUCUUUCACUUGAAGUUCCAGUUUCCAAGAACCUAUUGUCCAAGAUAAGUAAGGACUUACUGUACUUCUGGGCACACAAUGGGCUAAGCAUCUUAUAUUAUCAAAUGAGAUGAAAUAAAAUAUAAUGCUAAAAUGAUGUUAAAAAGUUAUCACAUUAUAACAAAUUAUAAGAAUUAUUAAAAUGACAGGAUAUAUUAAAGCACUGUAAAAAGUAAAGCUUAGUAGAUGCAUUAGAGGUUAUGAUUGGCAUUGCUAACAUUAUUAUUAUUAAAAUCCUUCAGUGCUGGGCACCACUUAUUUCUACCCUUAUAACCCCAUGGACCUGUACUGUAUCUUGUAAUAAAACCCUCAAUAAAUAUUUGAUACAUUGCUGAAUAAAAGGUAGGUUGACUUCUUAAAGUACCUGCAAAAUACCUCAUCCACAAGAGAAAAAGGCAAGAGAAUAACCUUGCUUCAUGAAGAAAGUAUCGAUCAUUCAGGCGUUAAAUUUUCCAUUUGUUCAUUUUUUUUUUUUUCCAGCAGAAACUCUUGGAGAAAUUGCAUAGCAUUAUUUUAAACAAUUCCCCUCAGAGGCCCAUUAGAUAGGCUUUUCUGCAGACAGGAUAGAUGUCUUUUACAGCUGGUCAGUGUUUAGUUCUCCCAAUACUUGACUGAAGAAAGAAAAUAACUGGGAUGUAAGAUAUCUGACCUAUAGAUUGCUCAUUCUCUGCAUGAGUCAAUCUUUGAAGUCGGAAGAUAAAAAUCACCAUUAAUCACAAAACUUUCUUACCAUCAUAAGGUCAGAUAUCCCAGGGCCCUUCCAAAAUUACCACGUGGACUGGCAUAGGGCGAGAUUGGCUCAGCUGUGGUCACUUUUAUGACACAGAGCUCCUUCCCUCUGGUUGAUGAUAUUGAAUGAGCAGGAAGGAAGAAAAGAAAUAAAAGUCAGCUAACCAUGGUUGAGUCAAUCCAGCCCACGGCAUUCAAAGGCUGAAGGGCCACCUGACACUCCAGAGGCUGCUGGAAAUGCAGGGCUGUUUCAUCCUGGGGUGCUGUUAAUUUUCUUGUGGAGAAGGAACUGUCUUUAGAAAAAUAUCUCAAAAAGCCACUGAAGUAGAAAGUUUCAGCAUGCUGAAGAUGGAACUUGAGAAGAUAGAAAGUUCUGGGUCCUUAGUGGCAUGACUGAGUCGCUGGACCACUGUUGGAACCACCCUAUGUCUUAGUUUUUAAAUCUCUUUACUGUCUAAGACAUUUUUAGUGGAAGUAUUUAUCUCUGGCAUCCAAUAAGACCUUUAAGGAUUUGCAGUUUUAUCUAUGUGUUUGUUUAUUGUCUGCUCCACCCUACUUGAUUGUGAUCACCAUGACAUCAAUGACUGUGCAUCUUUUGUUCACUCAGGAAUAUCCAGUGCCUGCCACGCAGAGUGUGCUGCAUGUACAUGCUCACUUGAUAUCUGUUGUAGCAAAGAGUGAAAGAGAGAAGGAAUAAAUGCUUUCUCCCAUGAUGAGGGGACAUGGGGUCCAGACAAGCUGGACCAUUAUCCCAGGCCCAGCGCUCUGCUUUAUUUUUUUUUUUCCAGUACAGCAUCACAUUCAGUUACAACAGAGUGAAAUCUCCUAAGAACACGGCUGAUUAUUUCUUGAUUGCAAAAAGGACUCACUAACCCUCCGAUCUCCUGUAACGCAAGUCAAUGCUCUUCUAAUCUCCUUUUAGACAGCACCUGUACUUGUCAGUCAACGCAUGGUAGUCUGGGCUAGCCAAGUGAAUCCUUAACUAAACUGAAGUGGUGCUGAUCAUUCAGCCUUCAGAAUUGAAAAAAUCACAGCAUUGCUGAAGGAAAAGGCAUUUUUCAGGUAGAGAGGCAUAAGUCUUGGGCCAGGAAGCUUCAGUAAGAAGACAAUAAUUUCAUAGAAAUGCAUUAGCUUGGGGAGUCCAACUGCUGUUCUUGCACCUAAGAAAUUCAGAGGAGAGCUCUUUGCUUCCUUGCUCAUUCCAGUGGUUAGGAGUCAGGCCUUGUCCCAGAAUGUUCAGGUUGAUGCUUACCAUUUAAGCCUUAAGUUAAUCCGUUGAAGCUCCAGGCCUUUUAUGGGAUUCACAAGAAUAAACAGCAUUUAACUAUAGAUUCUCAAAGGUCAAAUCUUCAACCUAAAUCUGAGGAUUCAAAGCAUUGUUCACUCUAAUAAUUCUGCUAGUUCCCAACUUCACACAAACCAUUUAUUUCAGAAUGUAAACCUUGAAUAAUCUUUUCUUACUUGUAGUUUUGUGGUCAUUUAGAAAACAGCAAUACUCUAUUUUAAUUGGAACUAAGUGACAAAAAUAAGCCACUUCAUUAGUUUUCUAGAUAACGGUAAAAUGUAAGAACAAAAAGCCACUUCUUUUUCCACGUGGUAUUUUACAGUGACUUUUUUUUUUCUUUUUACUGCAUUUUAAAAUUCUACUGGAGGCAUUUCUCGGAAACUUUCUCUUACUUGUUAAUGAAUCAUCCCCUUUGAGAAUCAGCAGGUGAUUUCAGGAGCCCAGGUGUGAAUAAUUGAUUUAAGGUCGACCUUGUGGGUGGAGCCAAUGUUUACCAAGUGCAUUCAUUCGACAAACAAUUGAUGAACACCAAAUUAGAGUUCAAUUCCAGAUAACAAAAACCAGUUGAACUAAUUUCAUCAGAAAGCUACUUAAUAGGGGUAAUUAGGUGCUUACAAAAUAGAAGGGCUGGAAGCCCAGGAUCUAGGCUGACACCCAUGUAGCUAGACCCUGGAAACUGGGAUUCCAGCUGCACAGAACAGCCAAGUGUGUUCAUGACUGUGCUUGUUUGUCAGCAGGAGCAUGGCCCUGCCUUGUGAUACUGUGUUUUUCAGCUCUCACGUGGCUGAGUCUGUUUGGAGAAGUUGGUUCAAGAUGCAGCUUGACUCUCAGGGAGUCUGAAUAACUACCCUUAAUAUUGUUAGCUUUCUGGUCUCCAGCACACAGUAUGAUUUUCUGGAAGAAGGAUUUAAUGUAGUUAAAUAUGCCAACGUGUAAUAUCUGAUGUACAUUUCUACCCUGCUUGGGAUACAAAAUAAAUAAAAGCCAGUUUCUGUCUGUAAGGAGUGUACAGUUUAGUAAGAAGACAGACUCCUGAACAAAGAUGUAUACUUCAAUGUUGCCAGCCCAGGAUUAGAGAUGGGUAUUAAGAGGACCUCUGAUGAGUGAUAUUUUGCAUCUGGUGCAGGACAGUUCCCUAGGUGGCCUUGGACCAAACCAGUCCUCCCGCUUUCUCACUUGUAGUUUUAAGAAUAACUAGAAUGUGCUGGGAAUGCAACAUCCCGAGAUAAGGCCUAGGCUCUGUUCCAGUCCCCGCUAGAAACAGGAUGUCCUUCAGCACAUUAAUCCAGCAGGUCAUGUUAUCCCUGGAGUAGAAAACCCAGAGACGGCUACUUUCCAGGGUCCUGCAUCUGGGGUGCAAGUGAGGCACACGCAGAUGAGACUCCACCUGCCCUGGGCAGCUUUCCUGAGCCUUGAGAAACCAGCUCACCAUGAAUCCAAGGUGUCUGCUGUUCCUUGCCACCAUUUCAUGGAACCUGUUGUAUGUACCUAUUCAUGUUUUCCAUGUUUCAAAUAUGACUGAACCUGACAUAUAUAAGAACGCAAAAGAUUCUUCAAAAUCAAACUGUGUCCGGAAUUGGUGGGUUCUUGGUCUCACUGACUUCAAGAAUGAAGCCACGGACCCUGGCGGUGAGUGUUACAGCUCUUAAGGUGGCGUUUCUGGAGUCUGUCCCUUCUGAUGUUCAGAUGUGUUCGGAGUUUCUUCCUUCUGGUGGGUUCGUGGUCUCGCUGGCUCAGGAGUGAAGCUGCAGAUCUUCACGGUUGCUAGUAACACAAUAAUAAAGCUGCUUUAUUUUCCAGUGAAGAUGUAUGUGAUAGGGAGUGGAGGAAGAAAAAGGCCAGAAAAUUCCAUAGUUAGCAAAUAUACCUUUCUUACUUAAAAUUCUUUUUCCAAUGUGAGCCUUCUAAAGAGUUACUGAGAAAUUAGGUGAGCUCACCUCAUUUAAUGCAAUAGAUAUGUUUCUGAAAAAUAAGCAAUACAUAGGACAUUGGCCAAUUAAGAAUUCUGAUGAAGAAGAAUUUUCACAUCCGAAAGAGUAAAAAUGAAAAACGGUACAAAUGUAGUGGCUUUUAAAUUUCAAAACAAAUUAUUUUGAUAAGAUAAAUAUUCCUCUCAUAAAGUGAAAAUGGAAGAGACUGCUUGCUGGGUGUUCGUCAAAAUGGAGUUAGAUGGUCUGUCCCAGACUCCCCUGUUGUUAGUUCUGAGAACAGAAGUAAUGGUGCUUCUUCAGGACUGGCUCAUAGAAACCUGCCGUGUUCAGCCCCCACAAUCCUCUCCCUUCUGCUGGCUGGAAACAAAUGACAACGAAGCCUCACGUCUUGGAGAAACCACACUGCUGAGGAACUCAAGUCCUAGAAGAACCAUUUGAAGAGACCCAUCUCACUAAAGAAAAUCACACAAGCAAGAAGUAAACUUCAUUGUAUCUAUGUAUUUAAUUGUCAUAACAGUCUACCUUAACUGAUACAGCAAAAAUUCGCUCCUUUUCUGGACACCCAGUUUCAAAAUCUCAGUGUCAUUUUUUACUUCUCUCUUUUCAGGUUGUUUAAUAUAAUAAAAUUUGUGUGUGUGUGUGUGUGUGUGUGACAAGGUCUUGCUCUGUUGCCCAGGCUGGAGUGCAAUGGCACGCUCCCAGCCCACUACAGCCUUGACCUCCAAGCUCAAGUGUUCCUCCCACCUCAGCCUCCAGAGUAACUGGGACUACAGGCAUGGGCCACCACACCCGGCUAAUUUUUGUACUUUUUGUAGAGACAGGGUUUCACCAUGUUGCCCAGGCUGGUCUUGAACCCCUGGGCUCAAGCGAUCUGCCCAUCUCCACCUCCCAAAAUUCUAGGAUUACAGGCGUGAGCCACUACACCCAACCAUUUUAUUUUUAAAAGUUUUCUUUGCAAUAUUGCUCACAUUGUUUCCUUCCUUUUUAUUCUUAUUGUCACUCCCAAGUUCAGGCUUUUACCUCUUUUAUUUGAAGUAUUAAAGUAUACUUCUAAGUCAUUUCUGUGGCUUAAAUUUAUUUAAUCCACUCCAUCCUGCAUCCUACCAACACAAUAACAUUGUUUCAUCAUUUCAAAUUGAAAUCGAAACUCUCCAAAGCUUUCCUACUGCUGAAUGGAUAAAAACACAAAAUCCUCAAUAGAGAAUUCACUUUCUGGAGCCAACUUACCUUUCCAAAUAUUUCCCAUUAUUCCCUAAGAGAAUCCUCCUGACAUACUCACUGUUUUUCAUAUACACUAGACCUUUUCUCAACCACCUAUUUGUCCACACAUUUUUCUUCCAGCUAGAAUAUUAUUUUCCCUUUCUCACUUCUGAAAGUCUUACCUGUCAUUCAUGGUUCAUCUCAAGCUCAAUCUUCUCCUUGAAACCUUUAAGCAUACCCUCCUGGAAAGUUAUCUCCCUCACCUCGAACCACCCCCCCAGCCCCUGCCAGAAUCUCCUAUAGGGCUGAUUGUUUAUCCUGCUUAUUAUAUAUUUAUAAAACACUCCACUGAGUUAUUAAUUACCUUUUCCUUGACUGUGAAAACAUGACUCUGGCUUCAAGGUAGGACCAUUUUUUCUCUAACACUGUGUCUCAUACACUUCAGCACAAGCUCUUAGUGGCCUGUGCAUUCAACUCCCAUGCAUAGCCACUUCCUCCAGGCAAACCCCACAGCCAGCAUCCAAAUUUUAAAAGGGGUUCUGUCAUCAACCCAAAGUUUCUUCUCUCUCAAGGAACCUAGAUUUAGAAGUUGAGUCUAGGCCACCUGUCUAAGAUACAGUAGUUAAUUUAACAUAUUUUAUUGCUCUCAACAUCACAGAGAAAGAGCCUUACUGCAGAUCUCAUUCUUUCCUUCAAAGCCAGUUUGCCCAUUCCUCUUCAGAAACCUUUAAGAGUGGUUAUUGGGAGAGAUGAUAAGACUCCAUCUGCUUAAGGAGUCCCUCUAACCCAGAAUAGUAGAUGUAAACACCUGACAUGUUGUUAUAGAGUGAAUGUUUGUGUUCCCCUCCAAUCCAUAUGUUGAAAUUCCAAGCCCCAAUGUGUUCGCAUUGGGAGGUGAGGCCUUUGGGAGGUAAAUAGAUCAUGAAGGUGAAGUCUUCAUGAAUGGAUUAGUGUCCUUAUAAAAGAGACCCCAGAGAGCUCUCUCAUCCUGUUUCUGCCAUGUGAGGACACAGCAAGAAGUUGGUCAUCUGCAACCUGAAGUGGCUCCUCCCCAGAAACUGAAUCUGCUGGGGUCUUAAUGGUGGGCUUCCCAGCCUCCAGAAUUAUGAGUGUAAAUGUUUGUUGUUUAAGCUACCCAGUCUAGGGUAGUUUGCUAUACUACCCCAAACUGACUAAGAUACAUAUGUUUGUCAUCCACUCAGUUGUUUUCCUAAAAUAAAUGAAGUCAGCUCCAAAGAUGAAUUUUCAUCUCUUUUUGUAGAGAUGGGUGCUAUUAUGCUUUUUAAUGAACGUUUAUUCACAAAUAAAAACAAAACAUACCUCUCACAUCCUCAGAGCAAAUACUUACAGUAACAUACAUUGAUGCUCACAAGCUCAUUACAUUUCAUGUUUACUAUUCAUUGAUAACAUUACAUUUAUUAUUAUCACAUAAACCAUACCUCCUGUUUAUGAAGCACUUAUGGUGUUUUAGUCAAUGUUAUGGUACCUGCUAUAUAUGGUCUCUAAUUUUAUUUUAACUUCCUAUAGUAAACAAUAUUAGGUGCUAACUCAAUAGUCAUUUUCUAACCUGAUUUUUCCUUGCAAACAGAACCCCAAAUUUGUUUGGAGAGAAAUGUGUCCAAAUCCAAACAAAGCAUCACCAUUUCUUUGAACCAUCAUAAGGAUCUAAUCAUUUUUUUUGUUUUCCUAGCCUCCCUCUAGCCAGAGAUACUGGGUAACACAGUUCUGGCUGAGAAGACAAGAGAAGAAAUCUGCUAAGCAUUUCUGGAAAAAGUUUUGAUUUGCUGAUGAAAGGGAACAGACAUACUGGUUGCCUUCCUUUUCCCUUUCAGCUGCCUAGUCGCCAUUUUGCAAUGUGAAACAACAUCAUUAAGGAAAGAUCAAAACAAUUGCAGAGAUGUCAACCAUCAUGCCUUUGAAUUCAUGCUCACAGUUGUCUGCCUCCAGAUUCAGUUAUAUUUGAGGUACUCUUUGAGUUAAGAUCCUUCUCAUUUUAUACCACUUGCAGCUGAACACACUCCCCACUAAUUUACCUUGUAAGGUGAAUUUCACUUAAAGGAAGAACACAUAAGUCAGGGAAUGACACAUAAUAGUAAAUGCAGGGUUUUUUUUUCUAUUUAUGAUAUAGAUUUAUACAACUGCUAUGUUCUUGACAUUGUACCAAUUUCAAGGUACAAAUAAGACAUAAUCCCUAAAAGCAUGGGUUACAAAAUCUGGGUUCAGCAUAGGGUUUCAUGAUAAACAAACAAACACAAAUUGUUUUUUAUUGUAUUUCCUUCUUCUUCACAUCUUGUGAAUCUAAGAAAAAUAUCAGAAUGUUCGUUUCAGCUCAAUUUUUGAAGAGUACAAUCUCUAAGUAAAAAGAAACUGUAAAUGUUUAUAAAUGUAACUAGAGCCUAGUAGAAAAUAAAGCCAUGCAAGUGUGUUUAGGUCCUAAUCUUAUUAACCAGAUUAGUGACACACAGUCUGCCCAAAGUUAAUGAAAGCAGUGAGGUUCUUUGACUUCAGUAGAUACACACCUGAACCACAGAGAUAAACUUGCUUCAAACCUGUGCGAUAUGUUUUUCUAAGCAUAAAAUUGAGCAUGAUAGCUCCAAUUUCAGUCUCAGUUUCAAAGCUUCCCUUUCCCGAAUAAGAGGCAAACUGUCACAUUAAAUUUAGCGAAUUAAAAUCAGUUAACUUGAAAAGCUCUUGGCCCCAAUGCAGAGAAAAUUGUUUGCAUAAUAAUAACUUAUUUCCUUUUUUAAAAGGCGGACUUCUGCCUGAAUGCUUCUAUAAACUUUUAAGAAAAUGGGAUUCUCAAAUCUCAAGCGUAUUGGGUUGCAGUUGGCACUUGAAGCUGGGGACAUGCAGAGCUGGCUAAUGUCAGCAGCUGUAGGACUGUCAAGAAAAAUAGGUGGAAGGGACACUUUUAUUAUAAGUAGACUUGCAAGGCAUUCCAACUUUCAGCUGCUCAACCCAGUAUACCAAACACCUCUGACUACCUCAAGUGUGGCCUUGCUGAGUGCUUCCAUAUUUAGGGGUUAUUAGACAGGACUGAAGCAAGUGACCUCUAAUGAGGAAGCAAUCAGGGCAGGCUCUGACCCUCCUCAGAGGUACUGUAAUGAACUGGCCUUGGAAGGUCUUUGAUGCUGCCUUUGCAUACUGUAUAUGAGCUUUCUGCUCAGUCAUUUCCUCUGCGCUCUGGUAGCACAGCAUGAAGCCUGCUAUUAGAAAAAAGGUUUAUUGCUACCUUGCAAACAUUUAUUGGGUAAUAUCUAAAACAUGGUGUCAAGUUAUAGUAAUGCGCUGUUCUGGGAAACUUUUUGAGAAUUUUAGUGUUUCAGAAGAUGGUCCUUUGAGAAUUCUUCUGUUUCAGAAAUGAAAAGUGGUAGAUAUAUACGUGUGUGUGUAUAAUAUGCUCAUGUAUCCUCUGAUUACUUGCCAGAGAUGUACCAUUUUUCUUUCAAGGGAAACAUCUAUUCCUAAGAUAGAUUAUUCUUGAAAUUUUCAAAGAGUAUGCCUCAGAGAACAAAUAUACAAAUUUACCAUUUGUCUGCAGAUAUUAUUUGCCUGUGUUUAUGCUAGGUCACUGACACCACACACAUUUUAAUCCCCAAGGGAAUUUAUUUGGUGGUGUUAUCUACUCAACCAAGCUGAAGCUUAUCUAGUUCACAAGAAAAUAGUCAAUAUGAGCUCCAUGCAGACUUAUGCUGUUAAUGCAGAAGAGGGAAAGAGAAUUUACCUUUAACUGUUAUGAUGAAAAUGUGUACAAUGACACUUAACUAUGGCAUGCAAAUCCUCUUUUCCUCCCCCACAGGUAUCUGGAAAGUACCUUAUACAGCUAGGUGCUUAGAAAAUGUUUAUUGAUUAAAUAGAUGAUGAUUAACAGAUUAAUAAAAGGUGAAAGUUACUAUCUAUGCAUUUUUUUCCAGUUUGAUGUUCAAAAACUUACCAAUGGAUGGGGAGUUGCUUUUCAUAAACAAUUUAUAAAGCACUGUCCUGGAUGAAAUUGUAAAAAGGACGUGGUGUCAAAGAUGACUCAGUGGAGUUGAGGUGAAAAAUGUGUAAUGAGCAAAUCAUGGUAAUUGGGAUAUCCAUCACCUCAAACCCUUAUCAUGUCUUUGUGUUGAGGACAUUUCAAAUCUUCCCUUCCAGCUAUUUUGAAAUAUACAACAAAUUAUUGUUAAGUGUAGCCACCCUAGUGUGCUACUGUACACUAGGACUUACUUAUUCCUUCUAUCUAACUGUAUUUUUGAACCCAUGAACCAACAUCUCUUUGAUUUCCAGCCUGGGCUUUGGUGUCCCUUUUUUUGUGUGUUUUCAUAGGGCCCUAUAUUUAUAUUAUUUGGGCUCAACACAUUGCAAAACUGCAGAGGAGUUUACUAUUAUGCACAUUAUUAUUCUAUAUUCUGUCACUCUAAGAAACAAUAAGUGACCAUCUGAAGAGACCAUCUUCUAGCACCAAAAUAUUUAAAGAUGAUUAAGAAUAAGACAAGGGUCUCCUUAUUUACAAAAUGACAUAAUUGAAAGGACUAGAUUAUUAGCAACCCCUCUGGAAAAGGAUUACUCUUUUGGAUUUUAAUUACAUAACUAAUAUAUCAACUGAAGUGCUAUGCCCUGACGUGUGCUCCCCUCAGCUUCACGAUCCAUAUGUUGAAACCCAACCCCUUAAUGUGAUGGCAUUUGGAGAUGGGGCUUUGGAGAUAUUAGUUAGGUUUAGAUAAGGUCAUGAGAAUGGGGCUCUUAUGAUGAGAUGAGCACCUUCAUAAAAAGAGACACGAGGUAUUUCUCUUUUCUCUCUUCUCUCUCUCCCUCUUUCCCUCCCUCCCUCUCUCCUCCUUCUCUGUCUUCCUCCUUUAUGUGAGGACAUAGCCAGAAGGCAGCUGUGUCUGCAAGCCAGGAAGAAAGCCCUCACCAGGAAUCAACUAUAUCAGCACCUUGAUCUUGAACUUCUAUCCUUAGAACAGAGAGAAAAUGAAUUUCUAUUCUUGAAGCCACCCAGCCUACGGUAUUUUGUUAUGGCAGUCAAGCUGAAUAAGAUAUAUAUCUACACUGAGACCAUUAAAAGUAGUUCCUGAUUGGCAGAAAGGUUGUAUAUAUAAAUGGCUCAUUGAAAGUUCUCACUGCAUGGAUGAGAAAUCUCAGAUUGAGGUUCUUAAAUUUUGAAAAAUAGAAAUAAAGGAAUUAACGCAACAGUCUUCUAAUCUUUCUGCCUUCAGUUUUUGCUCCCUUUGACUAUUCUCUGUACACUGCAUCCAGAGGUUAUAUUUUGACAGGGAAAUUCAAAUGAUGUAUAUUAUUUUUCUACUCAAAAUCUCCCCACUGGCACCCUAUUGUCCUAAAGCAUAAACUGCUAUUGCAGUCAAUUCACCUGAAAUAAGCUCUCUUCCUGCCGCGUCUUUUACAUAGAUUGUUUACUCCUCUUGUGAUCCCAGUUCCCUGCUUCUCCCUCUCCUCCACACUUUUCAAUAAUUAAAUUAUACUCAGCGUUCAGAAUUCAGUCAGGAUAUCCUACCUUCUUUGGUCAGCCCCCCAGGGUUUUCUGAAAGCUGGGAAGAGGCCCUCUUCUGCAAUCCCCAUGCACUGUAGACACAUCCCCUUUAGGUCCCUAUGUUGUGAGUGACUGUUUUCUUGUCUGUCUCUGCCACUAUAUUAUGCACUCUUAGAAGGCAAGGACUACUUCUCUUCAUUGUAUACCUAGAACUUAACCCAAAAACUGGCAUGUGCAUGCACCCAAGUUUUCACUGAGAAAAUAAUUGCAUGAGUCACUUGCUUUCCAGGUCUUUCUGACUACUAUGAUGGUGAUGACUUGUAGUCACAACAUGAAAUUGGUUUCUGCCCCUGAGGAUUGUAUCUCUCUACUUUGCAUGACCCCUAGAUUUCAAUCCCUCUUUAUUCUCUCCUGAUCCUUGGGUUCCAGUAAUUCUCUGGGUUUCAAAUAUAAGCACAGUGUGAGGAGCUCUUCAUUCUUGACAGAACUUUCAGGCAAGAAAGAAAUAGAUUCCUGGGAAUAUCUAUAUUCCCUCUGGCCCUAUUCCUUACUCCCAAAACAUAAUAACCCUUUUCUUAGGUUUUUUCUCUCUACCUUUUUACUUCUUCCUUAUUCUCACGAUUACAUGAAUUAACUGCCUACAGAGUAUGAAUUCAGACUGAAUUAAUAUGUAUUUAUGUGACAUAAAAGAUCUCUUUCAGUACUUCUUAAUCUUACCAAAUGAUGCAUACUAUACAAUAAAAAAUUGCAAUUUUUUCAUUAGCUUUUUUUUUUUUUUUUGGUUUCUGGUAGGGUUUUCCUUUAGUGGUAUUUUAGCAAGUAAUACAAUCCAGUUAUUUUUAAAAGUAUAUUAGUAGAAACUCACCAGAAGUCAAUAUACUGGUCCAAGAAUAAUUAACUGAUUGACUUUAUUGUUUAUGAAACUUUGUAAUGUUCCUUUUGAUGUGAAUGCUUAUCUUAGGGGGAAAUGCACUUUUCAAAUAUAAAUGAUCAUGUUUAAACAAACUGCUUCUAGUUUCAAAUAUGGCACUGAAAAACAAAAUAAAAUAAACACUCAAUUUUUAUUUAAAAUGGUGGGCAAUUUACUUUCUUUUUUGUUUGGGAUCUGAUUCAAGAGCCUCAAUUCAGCUUAUUGCAGAACUAACUAAACUAAACCUCAAAGGAAAAAUUUUAAAAAUGAUUUUUAUAGCAAUGACAUCAUUAUAUAAAAUGUUGGCAUUUCAUAUUUUCCAAACAGAAACUUGGAAAUAACAGAAUACAAGUUAAAUAAAACAAAUUGAAACUAAUCCAAUUCUCUGUUUUUCUUUCCCUUUUUAAAAACCAAGCUUUUUAUUGCCAGCUUUUACUUUGCAUAAUAAUAUAUGAUGAAUUGUCCAAGAAAGACCCAGUGGGUACAUUUCUCUUAGAAAUAAGCCUCUCUAUGCAAUAGGAGGCCAAGUUCUAGGGCAACAUACUUAUAUAAUCAUGUAAGAUUUUCCUUAUUGCUAACAAUUGACCAACCUGGGCAUUUGUCAAAUAUGUAAACACAUGGAGGUCACUGGUCACCAGAGGAUUGAAAACACAAAUCACUCUAUUCAUAUCCAUCCCUAGUUCUAGAAAAACAAUACCAAAUUAAAGCAUAUAUCCUACUAGCAAUAGGACUAGCAAAAUUAUUUUGGUAUACCAGAGCUACAUGUUAUACAUUUUGCUACUUAUGGAUUUAAUUACUCAGGAUAAUUAUACACAUGGCUACAACUGUAAACUUUAUAAUAUUUUGCUGGCAUACCUUCCAAAAGAGUUUGAAAAGCUAUGAAUUUAAUUCUAUAUUUGCAUUUGACAUAUAAAGUAC
rnacentral:lncRNA from 1 species